GGGGGGGGGGGGGGGCGGGGUGGGCGCGUGCGGGGCGGGGGGAAAGGCCGGGCGUGUGUGGGGUGCGCGGGUGGCGGGCGGGUGAGUGACACGUGAGUAACCUUCCCGUGGCUUUGGGAUCACUUCAGGCCACUGGUGCUUAUCCCGGGUAGUAGCUCCUGCUCCAUGGUUGUGGUUGGAAAGUUUCGGCGGUUGGGGAUGGACUCGCGGCUUGUCAGCUUGUUGGUGGGGUAGUGGCUUACCAAGGCGUUGACGGGUAGCCGGCAUGAGAGGGUGACCGGCAACAUUGGGACUGAGAUACGGCCCAGACUCCUACGGGAGGCAGCAGUGGGGAAUAUUGCAAAAUGGGCGGAAGCCUGAUGCAGCAACGCCGCGUGCGGGAUGACGGCCUUAGGGUUGUAAACCGCUUUCGCCUGUGACGAAGCGUGAGUGACGGUAAUGGGUAAAGAAGCACCGGCUAACUACGUG
rnacentral:rRNA from 1 species